UACGGGGGGGGCAAGCAUUUUUCGGUAUGACUAGGCAUAAAGGGUCUAUAGACGGGUUUUCAAGUUUCGAGGUAAAAAUUAAAGCAUAACUUUAAGGAUCCUCUUAAAACGGUUAACCUAGAGUAUUAAUAGAGAAUAAUGGAAUUUUUAUAGGAGAGAUGAAAUGUUUUGAUAAUAAAAGGACCACCAAUAGCGAAGGCAAUUAUUUGGGUAAAUACUGACGUUGACGGACGAAGGCUAAGGGAGCAAACGGG
rnacentral:rRNA from 1 species